CCGAUGAAAAAUGUGUCUGGUGGUAUGUUGAUUUAUUUAAAAUGCGCCAAGUUGGUUAAUGCUUGCUAGAAUUAGGUAGCUUGGCGGGGUUAGCCACAUCUGGCUAGCUAGCUAACGUCAGCGAAGUUAGUCAGCAACUUGAUGCGUGAACUGCUCGCGUCAGAAAAGCUCAUAUUUUUACCUGACUAAAUUGGUUAUAAGGGCGAGCUACAUUAACUCAUAAUGUUAAAGUGAGCCUGUUGUGUAUGGAUGUCCAGCUAGCUAUCACAGUACAACUAGAGCCCGAGCCUGGUAGGUCAAGUUUGGGGAUUCGUAGUCAGUCAGUUAAGCUUACCAAACUGCACUAAGUUAGGCCAUGCCGAUCCGCUGCCUAGUUAGCUGGACAGCAGGCGUGUUCAGUGCAACAACAGUUGCCUAACUGUUUAAUAACGCUAGAUAGCUUGCUUGCUAACGCGACAGAAAAAUUCUAGCAGGCGGCUAGUAGGCUAGCUAAUUGACACAUUGACAUUGUCCCUUGGCGUGUGGACAGUUGACAGAAAUAUAAGGUGUGUUAGCUGGUUGGCCAGCUAAUCACUGGCACCUCAUACGCUGCUAAGUGUUACGUUCGUGCGAUGUGAGGGAUAGGUAGCCAGUCAGUGGUAGCUAGCUAAUUCAGUGUUCACAAAUGACACCGUCAGAACCGUUCAGAAUGUAAUGUUAAUCAUCAUAGUUAGUUGUUGGGUAGCUAACUAACGUUAAUGGAAAAGUUGCAAUCACGUCUCCGAAGAUCGCUGUGUAUAGACCGAGUCCAUUCAGAGCGCUCUUUAGACUACCCAGCUGAUUUAGCUGGCGCUCACAUAGACUAAUGACAGCUCUUCUGUCUCGUGUGGACACUUUCAGUCAGAUAGAUUUCUCGCUAGCGAUCAUACAUUAUUGUUAUAUUAAUAUACACGUUGCAAUAGCAUGAGCACUGGGGGUAAUGCUUGUGAAAUAACUAGCCUAACUAGCUAUUGGUGUGACUUUCACGCAGCUGUCUUUGCAACGUUUUCUAUUUUCGUGGUUAGCUUGUCGUUGCUGGCAAGCAGGUUAGUUAGGAAGUUUAAACUAGCCUGUUAGCUACAAUGUACUGUACAUGUUACAAUUGUCUUCCAGUGUUUACAUUGUAACGUCAGCUAGUAAUUCUACGCUUGCUGUUUUUCUUUAACGUUAAUUCGUCAAUAAAAAAAAAAUGUGAACACGAUGUACGGUCGCCAUGUUUUUACCUAACGUACACUAGUUACUGCGGUUGCUAUAACGCUAUAGCUAACGUUUGUUAGCGAAACAAUCUCGCAACACACAUUUGGAAAGUACGAGCUAGCUAGCGAAUUGGUGGUCUGUGUGUGAUCAUGAUCGUCAUUUUUGUCUGUCUAGGAAACGUGAUAUAAUAAUACAUUUAACAUAAAUAAUGAUAUGUAUUCCCAGAAAUAAAAAUAUAUAUUAAGGAUGUCACAUGUUUUGAUUUUUCAACCAGUCUCAAUCCGACUAGGCACCUUGAAGUAUAUUUAACUUGAAACUGUUCAUUUAAAAUUCAAGAGAUGAACGCGAAGUCAAACCAGACUUAAGAACCCUCUUUUCUUGACAGCGUUAUACCAACCUAGUCGCUGAGCUCCAUCACUAGGCUUCGUUUGAAGCGUAAUAAAGUUGGCCGGGUGGUCUGGAUUGUGUUGUAUUGGGCGAUGAGGAAGAUCUGUUGAUGGAUAGAAUGGGAGAAGGAGCUCUACCCUGGCAGCUUGGUGGGUAAGCCAUGGGACCACCAGGGCCUUGAACUUGAAGAAAGCUGAAAUGAGACAUUUUGGAGGAAUGAAGCACAAUCUUGCAGACAUUCUGAAUAUGUUGACCUGUUUGCAAGGGAAGGUAGUAGAGGCCAUAUUCAUAGUAGAACAUUUUCAGUGACAUACAUUGGCCUACAAGUACUGAAUGAAGAGCAAUCUUCCACACGUUCUGAAUAUUUUUACCUGGUUGCCAGAGAAGGUAGUAGAGGCCAGAUUCACUGUACAAGGUUUUCACAUCAUCGUCUGCAGAUUCUGCUGCGAUUGUAUCAAAUGGGUUAUGACAUGCAGUCCCACACAUAGGCCGACAAGUAGGCCUACUUUGUAAUGGCUAAUCAGCUGCAAGCUAGCUGGUCACAAUGUUAAUGUCUUAUACAAGAGGGACAUUCAGUUACUUAGACGUUUUCAAAUAGAGAGAGUUUAUUUUUGUUGUCUCAGUAAUGGUUCAUAACAGUACUAUAAUAUCUUGCACAUCUGAUCCCUGUACAUAUGGUAUGUGGGAUUAUUCAGCAUAUAUUUGUUAUCAAAGUGUUCUCUCUGCUCGUCAGUCGAAUAUCAAGAGAUUGAGGUAUAAGCCUGGCUACAGCUCAUAUGGAAAUACUUUGACAAUGAUGAUGAAUUGCAUUCCUUAGAAAUGAAGAAUCUGUUUCAGCUGACAGAUGGUCACUGUACAGAUUUUUACAUUUGGCAUAGAAAUAACGUCCGAAAUAUUAUAGGUUACCUCAAGUUUGGAACUCUGAAGGGUAGGCUAAACUGUACAUGGUAAUGCUAUUAGUCAAACUGAGUAAAGUUGAGAAAGUUAAAUUAUGAAAGUUAAGUUGAAAUUGUAAUUAUAUUCUUACAAACAUCUAAAGCCUCUGUUGUAAUUGUAAUAAACUUCUUGAGAAGAUCUCUGUGUAAUUUUGGACAUUUGCACAGUGAUUGGCUGCUGAAUCUUUAUCCUGUUGGUGUACUUGAGUGGUUUUGUGAAAGCAAAUAUGAUUUUGAUCUUUAUACGUGCUUUUUGUGGAGGUAUUUUACUGAUGGGUUAAAAACCUUGGUAAAGACAGUGCAGCGUCUGAGUUUUGGGUGGCAACAUGAACAGAAAACUCAUCGCAUCCACAUUGUUUGUUUGUUUACUGAGGGCAAUGUUGGUUCCCAUCAUUCCACUAGCCCUACUAGAGCCUUCUUGAUGCAUAUAGUUUACAGCCCUAUGUUCUCAAGUGCUAUGAUGUUGUUGUUUCUUUCGUGCAUCCAGGAUUUAACAUGAAGUUUUCUUGAACAAAUUCUUUCUAUUCCUUGUUUUGUCAUCAUUCGGUAUAAUGUUCAAUAGUUUUACAUCAGAUGGUGUUAUGCUUGUUGUACAGUACACUUUUAUUCUAUUCUGAAUAGGGCUGGGUAUUGUUUUGUUUUUAUCGAUUCCGGGUUUCAUGUCGAUUCUGCUUAUCGAAUCCUGGUUCCAAUUCUUGUCAUCAAGUAGCCUACAAAACGUUGUUGUAUCAAAAACCACCUUUAUUUUCAGCAGAUUUACACUGCCAUGAAAAGUUAAUUGUCAUUUUGGUAAAAAAGUAAAAUAGAGACACGCAAUGAAGGCCACACUCACAAUUGAGGAAAACAACCUGUUGCACUCCAUAGAGUUUAAUAUUAAAACUCGGUGGGUUAUCAAGACUAUCAAAAUGCCAAAACUUCAUUGUGUGGUGGACUGUAUGAAAAACAAGGACAAGAGCCCAGAUUUGACGUUUUCUGUGCUCCUGUGCAAAAAGAUGCUAACUCCUUGUGCCCUAUGGUUAUUUUGAUGUUUUUUUUGUUGUUGCUUAUCCUGGCCAGGGUCGCGAUGGAGCCUGUCCCAGCGUGCAUUGGGUGAGAGGCAGGAAUACACCCUGGACAGGUCGCCAGUCUAUCGCAGGACACACACACCAUUCUCCCACACAGUAUGGUGUGUGUGUCCUGCGAUAGACUGGCGAGGAAACCGGAGUACCCGGAGGAAACCCAUGCAGACAUGGGAAGAACAUGCAGACUCCGCAUAGAAAGGCCCAGGCCGCGAACGCUGGACCUUUGUGCCGAGGCCAUUGUGCUACCCACUGCCCCACCGUGCAGCCCAUCUGUUGACAAGUCAAAUAACCCAAAUGCAUUUACCUAUGAUACAGUAAAUAUUAGCAAUUAUAUUGAAAUAUGAUUUGACGUGAAAUAAUUUAAUAACUCUUGUUAACUUUUCGGCAGAUGUGUUUUCCGAGUUAUAAUAUUGCGUAGGCAGGGUUAAAAUUUUCGUUGAGUGCAGGGGAGCAUUGUUAGUAGGGACAGUCGGUAUAAAUGUAACGCAUCAUAAAUGUAAUACGGUCAGUAACUUUUAUUUCUUUUUGUACAGAAGGAGACUUGCGUCCACAUUCUUCGGUUUCCGAAUGGACCCCAAUUUGUUUAAAUCUGUCCUGCCUUACCUUACCGAUCACCCUUUCAGACGGGACAGAUAUGCUUUAAGAACAAUAAGUCCAAAAAAAACUAAGGAGCGUUCUAGGCACUCAUAUAGUAAUCCAAUGAGGAGUCGGGAGGGACAGAUAUGCUUUUUGCAUAGCCGUGUCCAUGCAUAUGUGGUGAUUGUUACAGAACUGCCAUCUGUGAGAAACUGAUGCAUAGUGUUUGGAUAAGUGAUUGGCGUGCAGAAUGUUUAUUUUAGCAUGAAAAAAAAAAAACCGCUAAGUUAUCUAGCUUUUUGAUUUCACAGCAUUAUCAAUAAUUAUUGAUAAAUUGAUGUGGUGGCAGCUCUAUUUGUAUUUCUGUUUUCCACGAGUAAUCAAGUUACUAGUUGCCAGUGUGUCACAGUGAACAUGAGUGGAUGGAACUUUUGAUUAGGAUCGUAGAGCUGACUAUUUAUUUUUAGGCGUUGCAGGAAUGUUUGUGAAUUUCUGGUAUUAAUUUCAUUAAUUUAUUUUUGUCUCUGAAAUAUUGUGGGUCACAACAAGAAAUAACUGAAAGAUGUUGCCCUGACUUGUCACAGGCCUUUUGUUUUAAAGUGAGGGUUUUCAAAAGGCAUUCUGGGGACCCCCUAUUAUACAGUACCUUCGUGGACCUGCUGUUGAACACCCAGGGUGUUAAAGUGACCUCUUUCUGCUUUCUGUUGUCUAGUGACCUGAACAGUUGGUUUCAUGUACAAAUUAAAAUUUUGCAUCACUACAGCCCAUCUAUGGUAGCAAGAAUGUGUGGUUUGCCAUUAGUAGACUUCAUGUUUCAUGGGGCUGAGUGUCCACAAAGCUUUUCUACAAAGCACAGUUUCCACCUCUACAGGUAACAUGGAGUCUCCAAAUCUGAACUUAGUUGAACAUGUAUGAUGAAUUCUAUACCAAUGCCUGCGACUUUGCCUUCAUUUCCAUCAACUAAGUGUGAGCAUGGCUUUGGAUUUAUACCAAACGACCAAAACCGGGCUGCGUUUUUGAAGCUCACUUUCUUGUCUUGUUGAGAGACUUUGCUCACUAGCGCCAGUGUGGUUGGAUCCAGUAUUGGUGUUUUAGCCACCUUUGUUAAUAGAAGUCAAUGGCAACAAUAUGGUGAAUAUACAAAGUCAAUCAUUUUUUUCCACCAGAAAAUGUUGUCACAAUAGGUGUUUUUCCUUCAUCUAAUGUCUCCAUAUGCCAGUUUGUUAUGUUAUUGUGUUAUUUGGACAAGAUGGUGAUAUUUUGUGAAUGAAUCUGGGACAGUUUGCGUCACUACUGAGUGACUGUAUCUCACUGUGCUUAGUGGACGACAGGAACAUGGUGGCACCCACGAACUACACUUCCUGGGCUUCAAAACGCUUUUCAACAAACCCAUGGAGCCUCAAUGGGUGAUGUGACAAAGUGCACAAAGUCAUUUCUUUGGUCAAAAACAAAUUCGGCUCAUUUCUCCCUCCCUUGUCCUUGGUGUGCUCUUUUACAUAGCCUGUGCACCAUUGCCCUCCUCUUAUCAAGUCCACAGAGAAUGCACAGCUUUGUGGGUUUCUGGGACCACACGCGCACAAAUCAGUUAUUUUAUGCAGUUGUCAUGUUUCUGCUCAAUUAAGGUUAUUCAAAUUCUCAGUUUCAGUGAAAACCUGAAAAUAUGUUGGUGGCGUUAUCUCUGUGGAGUUCUAAGCCUAUCAUUUCUAUGACAACAGCGUCCACAAUUAUUCAUCCCCACCCUAAAGGCUUUAACAACUUUGUCACAUGAUUGCAGUGAAUUAAUUUUGUGUGAUAAUAUGUGCAAAAUUUGAUAGCGCUAAAUUGGGAAAUUAGUAUCAAAGCGCCGGUCAUUCAGUUGCUGAACAGCGUGCUGGAGAAGACAGCAACACGAUGGCAACUGGGUAAAAGCGCCUGUUGUCUAUUGUCUGACGGCAGGGUUUUGUGAAGAAAAUGGCACAAACAGCCUGUAUUUAAAAAAAAAAAAAUUAUUAUUAUAAUUUUGAGAAUUUUAAAAACAGUUAUUUUAAGCCUAAAUAUUUAGAAAAGUUGUGGAAGGGGGAGGAUAGAGAAUUUAUGGCGUUGGAGGAAUUUACAUUUUUUAAUUACGUCACUCUGGCCUAUCUAGUGUUAAGAGAAACUUGCUGAGUCUGUGUGUGUGCCUUUUCUCUCUGUCUAAUCGAAGAAGUGGGGGAAAACAGAAUCUGAACAAUACUGAACAAAUUCGGGAGGACUAAACAUUUGGAGAGAACGCCUUAUUUGAGUGUUGCCGAAUAUGGUGUUUGUAUUUGGAGCCAUCCAUACUUAGUACCGCGAGAGUUGGAUUUAGAUGGCUGGGGUAAUAAAGCUUAAAAAAGUACAGUUGACGAUACUGCACAACCAAACAUUAUUUAGAAUUGUUUUCUACUAGUUAGCUGCAGCACUAUUUCUGCAGUAUCUCUGCUCUGCUCUUACCUGUGUAGCCCCACCCUGCCUGCUAAUUCAGCGUUGUGAACACGCAAAAGGAUUGUCAGAUGGGUAGGGAAGCCUCCUUGCAGAGAUCUGUCCUGAUUGGUUGUUAAGAUUCAGGCGCAGUGAAAUUUGGAGUGGCUGAUUUCAGAGCCUGGAGCAGUCGGAGAGACUGGAUUUUUUUUCUUGGAGCUUCUAUUUAUUAUCUCUCGCGUUGUGAGGGAAAUUUAACCAGAUAUGAACAAAACUGUUCCAAAAAAAACUUGCUUACUGCACCUUUGACAUAAUUAUUGAUUAUAAUCUUUUUUUAUUUAUGGGUUUUACCCUGGUCUGCCUUGCUGCUGGGAGGAAAAUUUAAUGUGUGAAGUUUAUAGAUUGGCAACACUGAUGCGCAUUAGGUUUUCUUUUUUUUUU